rnacentral:rRNA from 1 species
CUACGUGCCAGCAGCCGCGGUAAUACGGAAGGUCCAGGCGUUAUCCGGAUUUAUUGGGUUUAAAGGGAGCGUAGGCGGAUUGUUAAGUCAGCGGUUAAAGGGUGUGGCUCAACCAUGCAUUGCCGUUGAAACUGGCGAUCUUGAGUGCAGACAGGGAUGCCGGAAUUCGUGGUGUAGCGGUGAAAUGCUUAGAUAUCACGAAGAACUCCGAUCGCGAAGGCAGGUGUCCGGGCUGCAACUGACGCUGAGGCUCGAAAGUGUGGGUAUCAAACAGGAUUAGAUACCCUGGUAGUCCACACAGUAAACGAUGUAUACUCGCGGUUUGCGAUAGACAGUAAGCCGCCAAGCGAAAGCAUUAAGUAUACCACCUGGGGAGUACGCCGGCAACGGUGAAACUCAAAGGAAUUGACGGGGGCCCGCACAAGCGGAGGAACAUGUGGUUUAAUUCGAUGAUACGCGAGGAACCUUACCCGGGCU